UCAUAAAAGGACAAACUACUAUCUAAG
rnacentral:piRNA from 1 species